rnacentral:lncRNA from 1 species
AGAGCUGGUGAUCCCAUGAGGGUGUAGCUGAACUAUGUAAGUUCGAAGCGUUUCUGCGUUGAUGAGGGGGAGAGUGAAGAGGAAAAAGAGUUGAAUUUUGGAAUUGGAUUCCAUUGGGUGUUGUAGUACGAGGUUGUGUUGUUGUUGGUUGGUUGUUGAUGCAUGAUAUUGUGGAGGGGUAUUUGAAGGUGCUGAGAAGAAUUCAAAAGUGGAGAAGGUAAGCGUUGUUGAUAGAAAGCUCGUGAAAUAUGAGAGCUCUUCAUCACGAGGAUCCUUUGUUGAGAGAGAACUCCCAAACUGAAUUUGACUGAGAAUUGGAGCCCAAAGCUCGCUGUAAGUGUCACGAGAUGUUUUACUUCCCUUUAAUAGGAAAAACAAAAACUAAGUAGCCGUUUCUUUCAAAUUCUCUCAAUU